GACGAACGCUGGCGGCGUGCUUAAGACAUGCAAGUCGAACGGAGUGUGUAGCAAUACUCACUAAGUGGCGAAUGGGUGAGUAACACGUAGGUGACCUGCCCUGAAGUGCGGAAUAACAGUCCGAAAGGAUUGCUAAUACCGCAUGUGGUCCCGGGCGUUAGAGAACCGGGUCUAAAGCAGUAAUGCGCUUCAGGAGGGGCCUGCGGUCCAUCAGCUAGUUGGUAGGGAAUGGCCUACCAAGGCAACGACGGAUAGGGGACCUGAGAGGGUGGCCCCC
rnacentral:rRNA from 1 species